GAAAUGCGAUAAGUAAUUUGAAUUGCAGAAUUCAGUGAAUCAUCGAAUCUUUGAACGCACAUUGCGCCCGCCAGCACUCUGGCGGGCAUGCCUGUUCGAGCGUCAUUUCAACCCUCAGAACCCCUUGCGGGAUCUGGCGUUGGGGAUUGGCAUCCAGCCAGCCCCGAAAUCUAGUGGCGGUCCCUCCGCGACCUCCCCUGUGCAGUAGCGAUACCUCGCAGCGGGACAGCGGUCUGACCACGCCGUAAAACCCCCAACUUCUCAAGGUUGACCUCGAAUCAGGUAGGAAUACCCGCUGAACUUAAGC
rnacentral:misc_RNA from 1 species